GGCUCUUUAACUUACUAGGAUAGAGCAACAGCCUUCUAAGCUGUAAGUUAUAAGUUCGAAUCUUAUAAGGGCCA
rnacentral:tRNA from 1 species